UCCACGCCGUAAACGAUGUCAACUAGUUGUUGGUCCUAUUAAAAGGAUUAGUAACGAAGCUAACGCGAUAAGUUGACCGCCUGGGGAGUACGGUCGCAAGAUUAAAACUCAAAGGAAUUGACGGGGGCCCGCACAAGCGGUGGAGCAUGUGGUUUAAUUCGAUGCAACGCGAAGAACCUUACCAUCCCUUGACAUACAGAGAAGUUACCAGAGAUGGUUUCGUGCCUUCGGGA
rnacentral:rRNA from 1 species